UUGAUGAGUAAUUUGACAAGAUGUACCAUCAGCCGUGUGGAUAGAAGUACCAUCAGUGAUAGGCUUACAGGCUACCAACUUAGACUUGUCAGACGUCACAUGAAAAGAAGCCCCUGAAUCCAGAAUCCAAGACUGCGAAGCAAUGUUUUGAGAGGCAGCAGCGAUUGACACAGUUCCACUAGUAUGAAGCCCAGCAUCAAGUUUGAUAGCACUAGCCAUAACACUGGACUGCAACAUGUUGAAGAAAUGCUGAUCCUUGUACUCAAACCAGAGAACAGGACCGGGCAGAGCUCCCGUGCAGCAACAGACCAACCAGCAGAGGGCAAAAACCAACCAGAACAUAGCAGGACAGCAGAGCAGAGUAGCAGAACAGAACAACACAGCAGAGCAGAGGCGGAUGGUGUGGAGGAGUCCAGCAGCACAGCCGCACCCCCCUGAAGAAGAUGCAGCAGCAGAGGCCGCAACAGGCAGACGGAUGGACCAGCAACGGAUGUGGGCCGUGCCCAUGACUGGCAGCAGUGAAGAGGCCGCGACGAGCAGCGUGUGCGACUGCAGCAGGCUGCGACGGCGGCGGACGGUAGCAGGCCGCGACGAGCCGCGACGGGCGGCCGCGCGAACAGCAGCGACGAUGGGCGGGGUGUGGGACAAGGCGAGGCGGCGACGGGCCGCUCCCUCACGCAAGCCGCGACGGGCGGCUGCAAAACGGGUCCGCAACUCGCGGAUCUGCGACGCCGGACAGCCGGCGGCGGCGGAACAGUGGAUCUCGGGUGGGAUGAUGUAUCCCUAGCCCUACCUGCUCUGUAUCAUGUUACCUUGGAUGAGUGAAUGGGAAGAAGAGAGUCUGAAUGUUACCUUGGAUGAGUGAAUGGGAAGAAGAGAGUCUGAACAGAGACUGCCGUUGUGGUAUAUGAGGUAGUCCAUAUGGGCCUCAGGCCCUGACCAUACUUAACACUAGCUAUGCAACGAACUGAUGCAUUGUGCGGGAUAGGGGUGAAAAGUAUCUCAUAAACAACCAUAUUUGAGAUCCCAUUUUCCAAAAAUGUGGCAUCCAUAACACUGCAUACCCUGCAGUGCAACAGUUGUCCCUCAAAUCUAUCCAGACUGCAACAGGCAACUUCGAAACAUUGAUAGGAGGGUGUGUUUGGAGCAGUUUAUCCAGACUGCAUACCCUGCAUUUUAUUUUGCUAAAUUGACUGCUCUGAACUAUCCAAUAACAUGGGCUUCAACUCGAUAUUAUCUGUAUAACAUGUUUCUUGCCAAAAUGAAUUCGCUUUAGUUGCUUGCUUUGAAUUAUUGUGCCCAAGUGGUAGUACUUGGUCUGUUCUGCUUUUUUGCAUUGUGGCGCGUGCUCAAUAUAUUCCGAUCACCUUGAAUGGUAUGUAAGCAUAGUAACUUCAGAUAUAGAUGUGUUUCCUGAGAUAGGAUGGGUUUCGAUAUGAUAACUCUUAUCUAAACUUACAUAUUUUGUGGCCAGCUAUAUGUAGCGCAAUCAUAUCUAAUGUUGGUCUCCUAGAGCAUUUUUAUGGCCAGCUGUAUGUAGCGCUAUCAACAGGUGUUUCGCUUGAUACUGUAUGGGUUCUCACGAAAAGAAAUAUGAACAUCGAUCCUACUAGAAAGUGAACCAAGAAUAUUAUUUAUCAGGAGGUCUUGGAGUCGUGAGGUAAGUUUCUCUGUUUUACUUUACUAUACGUACAGAUAUACAAGCUUUGAGAUAUUUGUUCUUAUUUAUGUCCCUUCUAAGUCUAUUUAUUGUUCCUACGGCAUUUAUGGUUGAAGCUUGUCAAUGGUACGCAGAAGAAUAAGGAUAGCAGAAUCAAAAAGCUAUUGCAUUUAGUCAUAUGGAUGUAAAAUGCCUCUUGUGCAUUAGUUAGAGGAAUUACUAUAUUACUAUAUUUGUAAGAUUUGUACGAUAGAUAUAUGUAUUUAUAAUCUAUGUAUAUCUCUCUUAAUUUCA